rnacentral:rRNA from 1 species
UACGGGGGGGGCAAGCGUUGUUCGGAAUUACUGGGCGUAAAGGGCGCGUAGGCGGCCUUCUAAGUCGAACGUGAAAUCCCCGGGCUCAACCCGGGAACUGCGUCCGAUACUGGAAGGCUUGAAUCCGGGAGAGGGAUGCGGAAUUCCAGGUGUAGCGGUGAAAUGCGUAGAUAUCUGGAGGAACACCGGUGGCGAAGGCGGCAUCCCGGACCGGUAUUGACGCUGAGGCGCGAAAGCCAGGGGAGCAAACGGG